AAAAAUUAAUGUCUCCAAAACUUGAAAAGUUUUGGAAGACAGUAUGUAACACUAUCAAAGAAAACCAAGCAGAGCUACUGGAAUCACCAAGCAAGCUUGAGCAGAGAGGAGUUAUUUGCCCCUAAAACUCCAUCAAAGUUCCCAUUGGGCACUUUGCAUUAAAAGAAAAUACGGAGCUUCAGAAUCCCAGGAUUAUUAGGUUUGGAAAAAUGACCAGGAUCAUGAAGUCCAAGCUCUGCCUGAUGCCAACCUUGUCACCAGCCCAGACCAAUUAUUUAUUGAUUGAUGUUGAAUUGAGACUGUCCUUACAAACUGAACUCAGAGAAGCUUCACUACAUCCCCACUCCUGCAGUUCCCAGAGCCCCUGAUGAGAUGCAAACAUUGGGAAUUAGCAUCCCAGCUGCCUGUGCUUUCUGCAGAAUAAUAUUUCUCUGGAAUCACAAAAUCUGGGAGCUGUGAAGUCAUAUUGCUCCUUCUGCUGGCAAUGCUGCCAGGAAGCUGCAAGGUUUGGGAGUGGAAUUCACCAGGAAUUCACUGCAAGGAACUUACACAUAAUUCUCUAUAUGAAAACACCUAUUCCCUAAGACUUCCACAGCAAUCUGAGCAAGAAGAGCCCAGCCAUUCUGGAAAAAAGGGAGAAAAACAAAUGUUUGGGACAUCUGAACAAAAGUGAGAAGUCUGUAACCAGCUUUCAGAACUGAAGAUCAAUUUUCAUACUCUUAGGAAAUGGGAAAAUGGGACCUGGAGUAUUCUGUACCUGGGAAGAACUGCACACACAUUCCUGGGUCUUGCCAGCCUCCCGCAUCCACUUUGCCUGGCUGCUCACAGCUUACCUCCAAAAGCACACUAAUUUUGGCAUGAUUUACAAAAAGCCUGGAUAAACAAAACCUUGCCAAUGAAUCUUCUACUCCUGGACUUCUUGGGUUGUUCCCAGGACCCACAAAAGUCAACAGAAUUAAAGCUUCCCCCUGAAGUCACUGGAGCUUUAGAUCUUUCUGCUGUGGCUAAUUAAUCUUGUUCAUUAGUUACUCCCUAGCUCCCCUUCCCUUUUCCUCAUCACUUCGUGCUGGUGCAAAUUAUUCUUGUCUUUUAAACAUUAAUUGUUGCUGUGCAGGCCUUUUCUGGAAUGCAUUAAAUUAAAUCCCUCCAGAUAUCCACCUUCCUUCUUUUGCCAGUGCCUUGGAGGCUGGGGAGCUGGGAUGUGGCAGGUGCAAUACAGGCCAAUUAAAAAGCAAAUUUGUGCUAACUGAUGGGUAAUCUGCACUGGGAACCACAAGUGACAUUAGGGGAUGCCUGGGGAAAAUUUUCAUUAAGCAAAUUCCUCCACUGCUGGCACAGCUCUGACACCUCCACAUGUUGUGGCUGUUGCAAGGUGAGUUUCCAACACUUUCACCCUUGGAAUUUUUUCCUGCUCUCACUGAAUCUUGUACAAACCACUGACCAAGGGACAAAGAAUGUCAGAGGUGAAGUGAGUUAAACCAGCCAUUAGUCUGCUUUUUAUUUACCAAAUUUUUGUA